rnacentral:lncRNA from 1 species
GUUUUGUAAAACAAUCAACACGUAAAUUAACAAACGAAGAGAAAUUUAAUUUGAUAAGAAAUCAUUUCCAACCUGGAAUAAACUAUAACUUUCCUAUAAAAAAUAUGCAGGAAAGAACAGACUGUUUCAGCUGAAUUGGCUAAAUCGCUAUGAUGGGCUAGUGUACUCACCUUCACAAGAAGGAGCUUACUGCAUAUACUGUGCUCUGUUUGGGGUUGAUAGUUUGGGAACAUUAUCAUGCAAACCACUAACAGAUAUGGCACAUGCAAGUACAAGACUUAACGAUCAUUUCGGCCGUGAUGAGAAAUCAUGUAAAAAAAGUCAUACUGAAGCUAGAGCAAAAGCUC